CGCCUCUUGAAACAACAUAAGAGGUCCAGCCUGCCCAGUGACUAAGUUCAACGGCCGCGGUAUCCUAACCGUGCGAAGGUAGCGUAAUCACUUGUUCUUUAAAUGAGGACUAGUAUGAAUGGCACCACGAGGGUUAUGCUGUCUCCUUUUUCUAAUCAAUGAAACUGAUCCCCCCGUGAAGAAGCGGGGAUAUAUUUAUAAGACGAGAAGACCCUAUGGAGCUUUAAACCAUGUAACACUGGCUUUCACAUUAAAAUAUUCCAGAAUUUUCAUAGUUACUCUAGCCAUUACGAUUACUAGUUUUAGGUUGGGGUGACCACGGAGCAAAAAUUAACCUCCAUGUUGAAAGGAGCUACUCCUGAGCCAAAAGCCACGACUUUAAGCACUAAUAAAUUAACAUUAAUUGACCCAAUAUUUUUGAUCAACGAACCAAGUUACCCUAGGGAUAACAGCGCA
rnacentral:rRNA from 1 species